rnacentral:rRNA from 1 species
UGAGCAAUCUGCCCUUCUCAUCGGAAUAAGCGUUGGAAACGACGUCUAAUGCCGAAUACGACCUCCUUCCACAUGAUCGGAGGUGGAAAGCUCCGGCGGAGAAGGAUGAGCUCGCGGCCUAUCAGCUAGUUGGUGUGGGUAACGGCCCACCAAGGCGACGACGGUAGCCGGCCUGAGAGGGUGACCGGCCACACUGGGACUGAGACACGGCCCAGACCUCCGUACGGGAGGCAG